rnacentral:rRNA from 1 species
GAUGAACGCUGGCGGCGUGCCUAAUACAUGCAAGUCGAGCGAACGGACGAGAAGCUUGCUUUUCUGAUGUUAGCGGCGGACGGGUGAGUAACACGUGGAUAACCUACCUAUAAGACUGGGAUAACUUCGGGAAACCGGAGCUAAUACCGGAUGAUAUUUUGAACCGCAUGGUUCAAAAGUGAAAGACGGUCUUGCUGUCACUUAUAGAUGGAUCCGCGCUGCAUUAGCUAGUUGGUAAGGUAACGGCUUACCAAGGCAACGAUGCAUAGCCGACCUGAGAGGGUGAUCGGCCACACUGGAACUGAGACACGGUCCAGACUCCUACGGGAGGCAGCAGUAGGGAAUCUUCCGCAAUGGGCGAAAGCCUGACGGAGCAACGCCGCGUGAGUGAUGAAGGUCUUCGGAUCGUAAAACUCUGUUAUUAGGGAAGAACAUAUGUGUAAGUAACUGUGCACGUCUUGACGGUACCUAAUCAGAAAGCCACGGCUAACUACGUG